rnacentral:rRNA from 1 species
UCAGGAUGAACGCUGGCGGCGUGCCUAAUACAUGCAAGUCGAGCGAAUGGAUUAAGAGCUUGCUCUUAUGAAGUUAGCGGCGGACGGGUGAGUAACACGUGGGUAACCUGCCCAUAAGACUGGGAUAACUCCGGGAAACCGGGGCUAAUACCGGAUAACAUUUUGAACCGCAUGGUUCGAAAUUGAAAGGCGGCUUCGGCUGUCACUUAUGGAUGGACCCGCGUCGCAUUAGCUAGUUGGUGAGGUAACGGCUCACCAAGGCAACGAUGCGUAGCCGACCUGAGAGGGUGAUCGGCCACACUGGGACUGAGACACGGCCCAGACUCCUACGGGAGGCAGCAGUAGGGAAUCUUCCGCAAUGGACGAAAGUCUGACGGAGCAACGCCGCGUGAGUGAUGAAGGCUUUCGGGUCGUAAAACUCUGUUGUUA